rnacentral:rRNA from 1 species
GAUGAACGCUGGCGGCGUGCCUAACACAUGCAAGUCGAGCGGAGAAUUGUUGCUUGCAACAAUUCUUAGCGGCGGACGGGUGAGUAACACGUGGGUAACCUGCCCUAAACAAAGGGAUAACAAUGAGAAAUCAUUGCUAAUACCGUAUAAGCUUACACUAUCGCAUGAUAGAGUAAGAAAAGAUUUAUCGGUUUAGGAGGGGCCCGCGUCUGAUUAGCUAGUUGGAGAGGUAACGGCUCACCAAGGCGACGAUCAGUAGCCGACCUGAGAGGGUGAACGGCCACAUUGGGACUGAGACACGGCCCAAACGACUACGGGAGGCAGCAGUGGGGAAUAUUGCACAAUGGAGGAAACUCUGAUGCAGCAACGCCGCGUGAAGGAAGAAGGUUUUCGGAUCGUAAACUUCUAUCUACAGGGAAGAAAAAAAUGACGGUACCUGAGCAAGAAGCCCCGGCUAACUACGUG